GCAAUAUCCGGAGAGAGAGAGAGAGAUUCCUGUAGAAUACAAGACAAGACUAUCACAAUGAGCUGAAAUGUUGGGUCUGUGAAAGUAAUGAGAAGCACAGUGGAAAUAAGUUUCUGAAGGAUGGAAGAGGCUGGAGGCUGGCUAGUGGGAGAAGGUUCCCAGACACGUGAGAGACCCAGCAACAGAUUAAAAUCAUCCUUACCUGACAAGAGGACUCAGUGAAUCAAUGUUGUGCAGGAAGCAUGGCACCAGCGUCUGCUUUGGGUGAGGACCUCCAGCUGCUUCCACUCAUGGUGGAAGGCAAAGGAAAACUGGCUGUGCAGAGAUCAUAUGGAUGCAGCAGGAAGAUGUUGUCUAUGACGUCAGAGCCCUCACCAGACACUUAAUUUGAUGGCAACUUGAUCUUGGACUUCUCAGUCUCC
rnacentral:lncRNA from 1 species